AUCUCUUGGGGAUCUUGUUUAAAUGCAGAUUUGGAUUCAUUAGGUCUGGGUUGGGGACUGAGAUUCUGCAUUUCUAACAAGUUUUCAGGUGAUGC
rnacentral:miRNA from 1 species